GGCGAUGCCACAGGCCGGGAGUUCGGCUCAAGUUUGUUCCAGACAGCCCGGGACGAUCCGGCAGGGAGCGUCCAGUCAGCUACAUUGGAAAUCAAGACCAGUCCUUCUCCGGUCUUCUGUCUAGUGGACAAACACAUUGAGUUGCAUUGUAAUUUUACAAUCUGGAAGAGUGUCCAGUUGGAGGAUGUGGCAGUGAAAUGGACCUUAAACAAUGAAUUUGGAGAGAAGCCAGUGUACCAGUUUGAUGGAAAGCAUACGUUAUAUCACCGGAAGGGGGUCUUGGUGAAUCCUGAAUUACUGACCCAGGGCAGUGCAUCCCUGAACCUGCAUAAUGUGACAGUAGAUGACGAAGGGGUCUACACAUGUACGGUUUUGAUAUCGCCACAAUAUGGAAGUGGAACAGUCCGGCUCCAAGUUAGAGCUCAGCCUACAGUGUUGCUGUCACCCCAAAACCCCCAAAUUACAGCAGGGGGAGAGAAAACUUUUUCCUGUGAUGUUCAUCAAUUUUACCCUCAAAAAAUUGACAUUUCCUGGCUGGUUAGGAAGUAUGGGAGUAAACACGAGAGGCCGUUAACGCAGGACAUUUGCACUGGAGUCCCACUGCCUCAUGAUAAAAAGGGCGUGUUCACCGUGCUGAGUCGGGUAACCCAAGAUUUGUCUGAAGAGGAUGAUGGAUCCUUGUACAUCUGUGAAGUUCAACAUGAAUCCCUAGAAAAGCCGCUGAGAGGAAAUACAACCAUAUUUGUCACAAAUCCAAAGCAGUAUCAUCGGGAUACGGGGUUCAUCGUUGGAGUGGCUGCUGCCUGUGUUGUGAUAACUGGAGCAUGUAGCAUAUUUUUUACCAUAUUCUAUCAGGAACGACUUAUGAAAGUGCCGCCUCAGGUUUCCUUGAUUAACAAACCAGAUGUGAUCCCCAUUAAUGAGAAGCUGAAGCUGAUGUGCAACAUAAAUGGGUUUAGACCAAAAGCAAUUAGUGUGAAAUGGCACCGGAGAACCCCCCAGAUGGCAUCAAGUGAAGCUGCCGGGGAAACCUCUUUUCUUCUAGGUCCUAGAGAAGAUAUUACAGACAAGGCAAAGCAGCCUCUGGAAACCUAUGGCAAGUUCUUCAGUGUCCCCUCCUGUCUGACCUACAUACCCACCAUCCAGGAUGAUGGGGCAGUGUUUGAAUGCAGUGUUGAGCACAGCGCACUGAAGAGUGUUAAAUGGAUGAGCACCACACUGAAUGUCACCGCUCGUCCAGCAAGCUUUUACAUCACUACCUGGCCUCAGACUCCUGCGGUCGGGGAGAAGCUCAUCCUGAGCUGCGUAGUAGAGAAAUUUUACCCAAAAGAUAUCACUUUGACUUGGUUUCGAAAUGGAAAGCUGGUUAAGGAGGUGACCCAGUUUGGACCUUUCCCUUGUGAAAUUGACUAUUUCAGUGUCUGGAGCCAGACUGAGUUUCUAAUGACGAAUGAUGAGGAAGGGGUAGUUUAUAUCUGCCAGAUAAAACACAGCAGCUUUGGAAAUAUUGAAGAACUCUCCUAUAAAGUUAACUUGCAAGGGAUGCCCCCUGAAGUUCUCUGGAUCACCACAGACCCCUCCGUCCCCGUGGUGGGAGAGGAACUGAGGCUGAACUGCAGGAUCAAUAACUUCUCCCCCAAUGUGAUCACUGUAAACUGGUUCCGAGACGGGCAGCCGCUGCAAGCGGGAGUCUGCCAGUCGGUCUCGGUAAUGGGAGCCAGCGGCUUGCACUCCAUCUGGAGUGUUUUGAGAGUCACGCCUGGAAAGGAAGAGGAGGGAGCCGUGUUUACAUGUCAGGUGACACAUGCUGCUUUAAGGGACCCUGUGGAAAGAUCAUACACUCUGCAGCUGACUGGUUGACUUGGUGAAAGUUGAGCAGACUGCUCAGGAUGGGAGUGAGGAUGCAGACGGUACACUUCCAGCACAGGGACAUUUGUCUG